UCUAAGCCCGCUAAUGAAACUGGAGACAGAAUAUCGUUCACUAAGUCUUAUUACUCCUGCGGAGCAUCAAAGUUUUCAACUGUUCAAACUUCUCUUGGUAUUCUUCUAAAUUACCAAUCUAUUGCGACUUAUUGAAUUUUUCCAAAUUUCCUCUGUCAACAAAUGUGUGCACGAUAGUUCUUUAAUUCCUUCCAAGACAAACUAGCUAGGUUUUUCAAUCUUGACCCCCAGAAACUAGUUAUCUGUUAUUCCCUCAUGAUACAUUCCAAUCACAUUCAUUCUAUUUUCAUCAAAAAAAUUUGUAAAACAAGAAUAAUUUAUGGCAUUUUCUGACUCAUUCCCUGAGAUUAUCCCCAAAGAACAUAGGUAAUUCAACCUUAAGAGUAACUGGGAAAAGGAAUCCUACUCCAGCUCUCCUUAGUAGUCGCUCCAGGCUCAUUGGUGGACAGCAACUUCU
rnacentral:lncRNA from 1 species